CUCAGCUCAGUCUGCGCAUGUCGAAGCGAAGAGAACGUUCGCCAUUUUGUACCCAACGCAAUUAUUUUCGCAUUCUGGACUCGGAGCCCGUGAGGUUUCGCGAUAUUUGACAAAUAAACAGUUUUAGUGCGGUCGUGUAGAAAAGGUCAAUUGAAGGCAACGGUAAUGGCGUCUUUAUGUCGCUGCUGUAGAGCGUCUGGCGUCACGGGCUUGGUGAACACGUGACCGGAACAGAGCGUCACAGUAAGCAUGUGUGUGUCACGUUAAAUACUUUUUCAGUGACACCUGGUGUAUUAGAUGGUCACUGAAAUGCUUGUUUUACUCAGACAUUGUUCUGAUUGAAUAGCGUGUUUUGACUGGGUGUUUUAAGGAUUAAAAUGUGUGUAUGAUGGAUAUUAAGGGCUGUUUGAUUCAGUGUUGAUAUACAUCAGCGACUGGACCAGUUGAAUCUUGUUUAUGGUGUUAUUAAGUGGUGUUUUAAUGUAUAAACAGGGUCAGAAAAUAACCUGUGUUUGUGUACUAUAUCUGUGUAUUGUUUUAAUCAAUAAAUCUGUCAGUUUGGCUGUA